rnacentral:rRNA from 1 species
UACGUAGGGGGCUAGCGUUGUCCGGAAUCAUUGGGCGUAAAGAGCGUGUAGGCGGCUUGGUAAGUCCGCUGUGAAAGUCCAGGGCUCAACCCUGGAAUGCCAGUGGAAACUGUCAAGCUAGAGUCCGGAAGAGGCGAGUGGAACUCCUGGUGUAGCGGUGAAAUGCGCAGAUAUCAGGAAGAACACCAAUGGCGAAGGCAGCUCGCUGGGACGGUACUGACGCUGAGACGCGAAAGCGUGGGGAG